UCCCGCAACGAGCGCAACCCUCGCCUUUAGUUGCCAUCAUUCAGUUGGGCACUCUAAGGGACUGCCGGUGAUAAGCCGCGAGGAAGGUGGGGAUGACGUCAAGUCCUCAUGGCCCUUACGGGCUGGGCUACACACGUGCUACAAUGGCGGUGACAGUGGGAUGCAAAGGGGCGACCCCUCGCAAAUCUCAAAAAGCCGUCUCAGUUCGGAUUGUACUCUGCAACUCGAGUGCAUGAAGUUGGAAUCGCUAGUAAUCGUGGAUCAGCAUGCCACGGUGAAUACGUUCCCGGGCCUU
rnacentral:rRNA from 1 species